UAAAGAAUCGAUCUUAAAAUUUGAACUUUUAAGAUCGGUUAACCGAUCUUAAAAGUUCAUCUUUUAAGAUCGGUUACAAA
rnacentral:miRNA from 1 species